CAGCAGCCGCGGUAAUACCGGCGGCCCGAGUGGCGGUCACUAUUAUUGGGCUUAAAACGUCCGUAGCCGGGUUGGGAAGUCCUCCGGGAAAUCUGGCCGCUUAACGGUCAGAAUGCCGGAGGAUACUCCCAGCCUAGGGAGCGGGAGAGGCCGAGGGGAUUCCCGGGGUAGGGGUGAAAUCCUAUAAUCCCGGGAGGGCCACCUGUGGCGAAGGCGCUCGGCUGGAACGCGUCCGACGGUGAGGGACGAAGGCCAGGGGAGCAAACCGGAUUAGAUACCCGGGUAGUCCUGGCUGUAAACGAUGCGGACUUUGUGUCGGACAAGCUAUGAGCUUGUCCGGUGCCGGAGGGAAACCGUUAAGUCCGCCGCCUGGGGAGUACGGCCGCAAGGCUGAAACUUAAAGGAAUUGGCGGG
rnacentral:rRNA from 1 species